rnacentral:lncRNA from 1 species
AUGCGUACGCAAUGCCCCAAAGAGUGAUAGUAGGUCCAAAAACUAACACCUUAACUUUGAGCGCCCAUAACUUCUUCAUAAAAAUCCCAAAUGACACAAAACUUAUACCAAAACUAUAGCCAAAAACCUAAACCUUUUGACCUUAGCCUUCAAAAUUCGAAUGGCUUCGAAAAACUAAUCCUAAUCUCUAAUAUGGCCUCGGAUAGCCUCCUCAAAGCUCAUUGGUCAUGAUUUUUGACCAAUAGGAAUGGAGAUUUUCAUUAUUCAUCUCCAUUCAUCUAUAUUGGUGCCCUAAUUACUCCCUUUGCUACCAAAAUCCUUCUUCAAUCCUUUUUCUUAUAAGAUUUACAUAAUUUAUGCUCUAAAUACCAAAUAAAAGAAUCAAAAGAAGUUUUCAAAGGUCACUAAUGUCUAACAAAGGUGAUUCUAAAUAUUUAGAAGUUACUAUCAACCAAAACCAAUCUUAAAAGCCACUAUAAAAAAGAAAUUAAAGUUAUACAAAUUCUAUAGUAAUCUUUUUAAACAACCUCUUUUCAAGGUAAUAAUCAAAUUAUAUUCUACAACCAACUAAAAUCUACUAACAUGGCUCUCACCAUGUUACUUAAUAAAUUAUAUAUUAAGUACACAAUUACAUUAUUUUUAUAUAGUAGUCAAACCACAAUACGACAUUCACCCCCUCUAAACUUGUGCAUCCUUCGAUAUGGACGAAGAAGAACUAAAGUUGUGGUCGGCAUCAUAUUACCUUCUCAGUAAUGUCUUCUUCAAAAUCCAAUUCUUCUUCCUCAUAACUAGAUAGAUCAAAUUCUUCUUCAACAUCUUCGAGGACUAGUUCUUGAUUCCAUUGUUUGAAAAGUUUUAUACAUUUUUUUGCAAUUAGAAUUUUGAGUCUUGUUCCAUCUAAUUCCUUUAAUGCAUAUGUAGAAUUAUCCAAAACAUGUUCAACCACAUAAGGCCCAAACAAAUGCUUAGAGAACUUUUUAAGAGCAUUAUGUUGGUUAUCGAAGGUGUUGUCAUAUACUAGAAUCCAAUCACCUUCUUGAAUAUCUUUUGGCCUCAACCUGUGUCGCUUAUCAAAUCUAUCUUUAUUCUUCAAGCGCGACUCUCUCAACCUUAUAAUUAUUUUUUCUACAUCUUCAGGUCUUCUUUCUAGUUGACGAAUUCGAAGUACAAGAAGUUCUUCUUUAAAUAUAUUCUUGCCAAGGCAAGAUACUUCAAGUAGGUAUUUGCUCUUCAAUGGACAUAAUGGACUUCUAUCCUUGCAUAAACUCUGCCGACAUAUAUCCUAUCACUGAACUGUGAAUAGUACGAUCAACCCAAAGAGCAAAUGAUAAUAAUCUUGGCCAUUCUCUUGCUCUUCCUUUGUAAGCUUUAACAAUGGCCUUUACAAUAGGAGGAUGACCUCUCUCAUACUUAACAUUGCCUUCUAGAUUAUAAGGUGUAGUAUGUGAUAACUUAACUCCACAUCUCUCAAAGAACUGUCUAGCCUCAUGUGCAUCCAAUUCUCCAUAAUCAACAGUAAUUUUUCCAAUACAUCCAUAUCUAUAAAUCACAUCUUCCAAUAAAAAUCUACAAACUCCUUUAGUAGAUUUUGUCCAUAGAGUUCUUCUUUCUAUUUGGUUAGAUAAAUCUUCUCGUGCCAAAGCCAAGUAUCGCAUUUGCCAUAUCUCCAUAGGCAUAGUAACUAGGUCCACAACCCAUUUAUAAUGUAUUGCAAGUGGAUAUGUAGGAUCCAAUCCAUCUCUAUGUCGAAUCUCCGAGUAUAUCUAAUAGGUUUGGCAUGAUUCUACGAACUUUACCACAUCUCUAUACAUAUUACGCCACCAAUAUUUUUCUUUGAGCUUGUUAAAGGUGGCAUAAAUACCUUUAUGUCCAGCCUACAAACUAUCAUGAAACUCAUGGAUUAAUUGUUCUUGCAUCUCUUUCUUGCAAACUACUCUUUGUGGCAUUCCACUACCCCAUUUGCAUCACUUCCAUAGAUAAUCACCUUGUAAGAAGUAGUUAUAAGCCUUCCAUCUAAUCUGUUUGAAAUGAAUAUUACUUUAUCCUGAUUGUCUUGAUAAUGUGCUUAAAUAGCAUCCAAUAUCAAUCUAUUCUUCUUCAUAUAAUUUUUCUAUAAAUAGUCUUGAAUAUUCAUCUUCUCAUUGUUGUAUCCUAGAAUAAAAGGUAGUACCUAUAUCUUCAGUAUCUUCAAUCAAAUCUUCUUCAUAUAAUUCUUCUGUAAAUGGUCUUAAAUAUUCAUCUUUUCCUUGUUGUGCCCUAGAAUAAAAGGUAGUACCUAUAUCUUCAGUAUUUUCAAUCAAAUCUUUUUCUUGUUCAUAUUUGGCUCAAGAUAGCAUAUCUGCUAUAAGAUUAUCCUUGCCUGCUAUAUUCCUAAAUUCAAGAUUCAAAGAUUUAAUAUAUGCAAUCCAUCUUAGCAUAGCAAUAUCAUGGGUGUUACAGUUAGUAAUCAUUCCUAAUAGUGGCAAGCAAUCUGUUUCCACUAUCACUGGUGCUCCAAUUAAAUAAUCUCUUUCACUUUUCAUAGCUGUAACUAUUUCCGAUAACUUUCGUUUCACCUGUGGAUAGUUUCUUUGUCGUUCACUUAAUACUUUAGCUCCAAAUUUAAUAGAAAACUUGUUAUCUUCUUCAUUAUUUUGUCCUAAAGUCCAACCAACAGCUAUUGGACUAGUAUCAACUAUAAGUAUCACCGAUUUGUCAUCCUCAUAACUUAUUCUUCGUAAUACAGGUGGAUAAGAUAAUAAUUGCUUUAGCUUUUGAAUUAUUUCUGUAUGUUUUUUCUCCCAUUUAAAUCUCUUCUCUUUUCAUAGCAAACUAUAAAGAUGAUCAGCUACAUGUGCAUAAUGAGGAAUUCAUACACAAUAAAAUAUGCAAGCUCCUAAAAUCCUCCAUACCUCUGUUUGUGAGCUACAAAUAUCCUUCAUUCGUUGUAUGGCAUCUACCUUAUUAGGAUCAGAUUUGUGACCAAACCAUCCACAUAAAUGCCCUACAAUAACAACUUCUCAAACUCCAAAGGUAGAUUUAGCUCCUCAUAGUAUCAAGUGAACCUCCUCAAGUCGAGAUAAAAUUUUGUCACAAUCUGAAAUAUGAUUAGAUACAAAUUUACGGCACCCCUUCUGAUCCAUUGUUUCAUUUUUUUCUUCUUCCAUACACCCUUUUAUUGGAAUAUCAUCCAAGAAGGACAUAGUCUUUUCUAGAAUGAAAUCACAAAGAACCUUAUUCAUCCCAUUCAUCAUAUGAGCUACUGAGUUUGUUGCUCCUUGUGGCAAUGUACACAUCUUAACCAACCCUAAAGGUGUCCUCAUAGUAGUAACAUCUUUGCUUCCUUCAGCUUGUUGAAAUUGAUCAUAUCCAGAAUAAAGAUCUCCAAUAGAGUAAAUAGUUCUACUAGCAAAUGCCUCAACAAAUUCUCCAACAAUUGGUCCAACUCUAGUAUUUCUAAUAGUUACUUGAUUCACUGGUUGCAUAUCUUAAAUGAACCGUAGUGUUCCAUUUUUCUUUAGUACUAUAAAUCAACGACUGAAAUAUGGUACAAAUGAUGGCUCGAAGAUCUUCAUUUGCAUCUUCUCUUUUAAAAACUCCAUAAGUUUAGGUAGAUGUGCUUUAGGCACUGAAAUUAGUCUUAAAUUCCAAUGAACAUGUAGGACUGUAAAUAUAAUCAUUGGUGCCACAACACUUAGAUCGACACAUCCAAUUUCUGAAGGUUCAAAAGCAAAAGCCUUUCCAUGCAUAUUUAACAUAUUUCUAAAUUCCAUUUCUUCAACAGACAAUAGAAAAUUUGCAGAUCCUAUUUUCAACUCAUUGAGUGUGUUCUUAGUAAACUUAUGGCCAAUUUGUUUAGGAUCCCAUAAGUCCUUCUCCUUCAAAGCUUGUUGAACUUGAUGAUUGGAAUCACUAGGUAAUGGUAUAGCUACACGUUUUAUUUUCUUCUCCACAGUCUUGUACCUAGUUUCAACUUUGACUUCAUAAUCUUGAAAUGCUUGUAUAGUUGAGUAGAGCUCUCUUGAAUGUACUUGCAUCACUUGAUCUUUAUUUCCUUGUUCAACCUCUAAAAGUUCUUCCAUAAAAUCUUCUAAAUCAGUCUCCAUAUAUACACCUACUAUCUUAUCAUCUCCAUCAAGCACACCUAUUCUUUUUAGGUCUUUUUUAGAUUUUUUCACAACUUUUUUCUCUCACUUUGGUAGAUCAUUAAGUUGUGUAUAGAUAGCAAAUCUAUUCUUAGAUAAUUCUAUAAUACCUGUACAAAAGAUACUUUCUUUUUCAUGCGAGAGUACCUUCUUUGAUGUACCACUACAUUCUUGCUCUAUAGUGGUACCCUACAAAAAUCCGUAAACUCUUCACUAACCCUUGGUAAUAAAUCACUUCGUAAAUAAUCUCGAUUAUACUCAUGGUUUGCAAGUAUUGUUAGAAAUUGCACUGCCCUUUUUCCAUCUUGACUUCUAAUACUGGCACAUGCUGAUCCAUCAAUCAAAACUUUGGUCUCCAUCCUCACAACUGUAAUAUAUGGUUGAUCAAGAAUCACUGGGUAUGAAGUAGUAACUUGAACAAAAAAAAUUUGUUCUAUGGUCACAUCUCCAACCUUUAUCUUCACAUUGGGGCAAGCACCAUAAAGAUCUCCUCGUGUAUUAUUUGCUACCUGAAUCACCCAUCCAUGGUUAAUAUCAAUGGGCCACCUUCCACGUUUAUAGACUUCUUUUGACAUAAUAUUAACUUCAGAUCCAUGGUCAAUGAGAGCAAUUAUUGGUUCUUCCAAGUCUUCCAUUUUUACUAAAGUCUCCAUGGUGGCUCUUGCCCAAUGUCCCUUGGUAUAGUGUCAAGGGCCCUUGUCAUCAUCCUUGUAUUCAUCCAAAUCAAAUUGUCCCUUUUUAUUUAUACAACAUUAUGCCAAUUCAUGUUUCUCUACUUCAGCCAAGAUUGUAUCCAAAGCAUUAGAUAUAGCACAUUCUCCUGUCAACUACCUCUUUCGCUUAAUAGUGUCUAUGAUGACUUCAUAAAACUCUCUCUUUGCAAUGCCUAAAAUUUCUCGUAGAAUAAAUUCAAUUUUGGCAUUCAAUACUCUUUCUUCUAAGACUCCUUUCAAAUCUGUGGCUGCCUCAAUAUCAGAUUGAAGUUUAUAAGUAACAUGCUUACUCUUUCCUUUGUCUUUAUCAACCUCCAUUCUUUCUUCCUAUUUUUCUUUUGGCAGUGAAGCAUUUCCAGGAUGCAAUAUCAAUUGUCUAGCCUUAGAUGGUCUAUUAGCAUGUGGUAUAGAUAUUUCUUUAUUUUGUAUUGUUUCUACAUGCCUUUGAGAUCUCCUCUUGUUUGUUGGCUCUUUUGGAUUUUCUUCUAUUUCAUUUCUUUCCCUUUUCACCUCUAUUUGGGCUUCAUGUUGAGACUUUGCCAAAUAAGCAUGUACAAAUAUAGUAUCUAUAGAGCCAUCCCAUCCUAUGGUAUUUCUAAUUAUUGUGGUUAUAUUAAUUAAUUCUUGUCUUGUUAUUUUUCUUUUAUUCAUGCUGAUAAUAAUAUGAUUUUAUAGAUUCUUUGUAUUUACAUACUUGUCAAAAACAUCCUCCUUUCUUACAGCUUCAAUGCCAUAAGUAAUAGCUUCUCUUGAUGCUAUAGCUUGUUGAGAUAAAUGCUCUUUCAAAAACUUUUUCAUCCCUCUUUUUCCAAAAUUGGUUUUGAAAAACUCACUUGUAUCUUGUAAUGUAAUUUUUCCAUCCUUCCAUAAAAUUACUCCUUGUCAUAAAAUAUUAGUAAAAUCUCCACACUCCCUUUGAGAAUACUCUAUACUAUCGCAUCAAAUACAUCGUUGUAUAUAUCCUGGCUUUGAUACAAAUUUGUUCUCAAGUAAUCCUUCUUUCUCCUCUAGCUUUGCCAGUUUGAUUUGUAAGUCUUUCAUUCCUUUUACCAACUCAUCAAUUGCAUCUUUCUGUGGUGUAACUGUAGACAUAAGAAUUGGAAUAGUACUUACUGAUAUAGCAGGUUCUCGCAAUUGCCUACAAGAUAUUGUAGUUGGUGGAGGUCUAGUCUCUUGCCUUACUAUCACCUUACUCCUCCGAUAUUCUCUUUUGGUAAGUAUGCCCACAGCUUCAGAGACUUUCUUCCAAUCAAUAGUAAGUCCGUUGUCCUCUGUAUUAUCCUCCAAUAGUGAUUCCAACUCCCUUUGUAAAUCAUUGCUAGCUGAUUAAAGAAAUAACUUCACCUUAUCAUUUUCAAGUGUAAGUUUUUCCACUCGAGACAAUUGAAGAAACUAUCUUUUAAAUUCUCAGAAUAACUCUGUUGCAACCAAACCCUUGUUGGAUUUGUUCAUCCAUUCCAUAAACAAUUUUCUUGUCACCUUUUCUUCAUCUUCUAAAGAAUACUCUUCUUUUAGCUGAAGGACAAAAUCCUCCUAUUUCUCUCCAUGAGUUUUAAUAAUUUCCUUUAUAUGCUGACGAAGCUUUUGUACAACUGCAAGCUCAAAUGUAAGGAUCAUAUCUUUCUCCGAUAUUUUAUUGAGCUCCAUCUCUUAAGAAUAAUACUUAAGAUAUUUGGAAAUAUUGCUUCCAUCAAAUUGAUCUAAUAAACCAACAACAAAUUGCAAGGCUUUAGUAGCCAUUGCCUCCUUUCGUUCCAUUGAUUGUUAUUGUUGCAUAAAAAGUGCAUAUACUUGAAACAUUUGAGUUGUAGCAAGAUCAAGUUUCAAUGGAGAUUUCCAAGUAUAAUUCUUCCUACCACUUCCUUGCCUCCCUUCUAUAAUAAAGCCAAAAUAUUUCUUUAAAACUCUCUAUCCGAGAAAUUUUCAUGUCGAGUUCACCAGGUCUAUCGUAUGGCGUGAUUUGCUAACUGGGAAUACACUAAGUAUCUAGCUAUAAAGAGUUUAGGUUUCACUUGUAUAUUAUGCCUUAGCUCCCAAAAAUCCUCUUUGUUUUGUAUAAAAACUCAAAAUAAAUCAAAAUCCUUCAAAACAUUUUUCUUCCCACAAAGACCUUUUUACAUCAAACUUUAGGAUCUCAUAUAUCUCGAUCCAACCAUUUAGUUUGUUUCAAAGUUCUACAUAAGAUAGAUGCUAUUCUUAACCCUUAUUAUAACAAAAAUAAACUAUACAUCUAUCACCGAUCUUUCAGUAUCUUAGAAAUCCUAGCAGGUACACAAAACCCUAACUUACAAGCACUCAAAAACUAUUUUCCCUAUAUCUCAAAAAUCCAAACUCCAAAUUCUACAAAACUUAUGUAUAAAGCUUUAUAACAAGAUUAUACACAAUCUUAGAAAUUUUGAAUCAAAACCUCAUCAAAUUGUCUAAGAUAUAGCUCAAAUCACAAGUAUAAGUAAAUUGGACUACUUACUAUCCUUAGAUUCCAAGCACUGACUUCAACUGCCAAUAUCUCCUUCAUCAAAGCUUGGAAUUUAACAAAUAUUAAAUAUAAAUUAUAGCCAAAAAAAGUGUUCUCUCCAACUCCAGUUGCCGAUCCUCGUUUGCUCUCUAUAUGCGUACGCAAUGCCCCAAAGAGUGAUAGUAGGUCCAAAAACUAACACCUUAACUUUGAGCGCCCAUAACUUCUUCAUAAAAAUCCCAAAUGACACAAAACUUAUACCAAAACUAUAGCCAAAAAUCUAAACCUUUUGACCUUAGCCUUCAAAACUCGAAUGGCUUCGAGAAACUAACCCUAAUUUCUAAUAUGGCCCCAGGCAGCCUCCUCAAAGCUCAUUGGUCAUGAUUUUUGACCAAUAGGAAUGGAGAUUUUCAUUAUUCAUCUCCAUUCAUCUAUAUUGGUGCCCUAAUUACUCCCUUUGCUACCAAAAUCCUUCUUCAAUCCUUUUUCUUAUAAGAUUUACAUAAUUUAUGCUCUAAAUACCAAAUAAAAGAACCAAAAGAAGUUUUCAAAGGUCACUAAUGUCUAACAAAGGUGAUUCUAAAUAUUUAGAAGUUACUAUCAACCAAAACCAAUCUUAAAAGCCACU